rnacentral:rRNA from 1 species
ACCCUACGGGACGCAGCAGUGAGGAAUAUUGGUCAAUGGCCGAAGGGCUGAACCAGCCAAGCCGCGUGAAGGAAUAAGGCCCUACGGGUCGUAAACUUCUUUAGUCAGGGAACAAAGGGAGCCACGCGUGGCGCUGUGAGUGUACCUGAAGAAUAAGCAUCGGCUAACUCCGUGCCAGCAGCCGCGGUAAUACGGAGGAUGCGAGCGUUAUCCGGAUUUAUUGGGUUUAAAGGGUGCGCAGGCGGAAGCGCAAGUCAGCGGUAAAAUUGAGAGGCUCAACCUCUUCCCGCCGUUGAAACUGCGUU